UUUUCCUGUUCCUGGUUUUACUCUGGAAGCCACACACAACACGCAUAUUCAUUACAGGAUCAUUAUAGGCAAAGCCAGGAAAUAGAGGUCCUAGGCUGAUGUGUUUUGAGGAAGACCCACGGGGAGUCUCAGCCCCCCACCCCCAUCCCCACUCCCACCCCGUCUAUAGUUCAGAAUCUAAAUAUAGAUCCCGACCAGGAGAGCAGUUCUCAAAAAGAAUUUUCCCGAGUUGCUCUGAUGUCUAAAAAGAAGACAAACUUCCAGUGAGGUCCACCCCCCAUCUCACAUCAGCCUAUUGCCUGGUGCCUCUAAAAAGGCAAAAUCCUCCAAGCAAGAUCUAUUUGUGCACCAUAUGCCUGCUAUGUGAGGAAGAGAAGAGGGUGUUGGAUCCCCUGGAACUGGAGUUACUGAAGGCUGAGAGCUGCCAUGUUGGUGCUGGGAACUGAACCUGGAGCCCUCUGGGAAAGCAAGCAUCCAGUCCUCUUACUUAACCACUGAGCCA
rnacentral:lncRNA from 1 species